rnacentral:rRNA from 1 species
GACGAACGCUGGCGGCGUGCCUAAUACAUGCAAGUAGAACGCUGAAGGAGGAGCUUGCUUCUCUGGAUGAGUUGCGAACGGGUGAGUAACGCGUAGGUAACCUGCCUGGUAGCGGGGGAUAACUAUUGGAAACGAUAGCUAAUAUCGCAUAAGAGUAGAUGUUGCAUGACAUUUGCUUAAAAGGUGCAAUUGCAUCACUACCAGAUGGACCUGCGUUGUAUUAGCUAGUUGGUGAGGUAACGGCUCACCAAGGCAACGAUACAUAGCCGACCUGAGAGGGUGAUCGGCCACACUGGGACUGAGACACGGCCCAGACUCCUACGGGAGGCAGCAGUAGGGAAUCUUCGGCAAUGGACGGAAGUCUGACCGAGCAACGCCGCGUGAGUGAAGAAGGUUUUCGGAUCGUAAAGCUCUGUUGUAAGAGAAGAACGAGUGUGAGAGUGGAAAGUUCACACUGUGACGGUAUCUUACCAGAAAGGGACGGCUAACUACGUG